GCCCAGGAGACUUGCACUGUUUAUCAGCUUAAUCAACAUGACUGACAGGAAACCUGAUAAAAGAGAGUGAUUCUCGGCUGGUGGGACUGCGGUCUUUUGAAAUAAUUUUACUGCUCCAAUCCUGGGAUUUGCUGGUGUAUUGACAACUGUAGGUACCCAGCACUCCAGAUGUUGAGCAUAAAUAUGAGCUGUUAUCUGGCUACCUUCCUAUUGCUCUGCUGAUGGUCUGCUGGGGGAUGUUAUCACUACAACAUGCAGUGCAGAAGUAAAGAGUGACUGAAGCUCAUCACAUGACUGGGGAACCUGGGAAA